AUAAACCUGAUUCCCCUGCACUGACUCGACUGUCACGCCGAAAAUCAACUCAAAACACCUUGGCACGUGUGACAGCCCUGUGGCCCCUCAAGAGAGAGCCACAGAUCCCUAUGUCAACUCAGCCGGGACCCUGACACUACUUUUACAGCUCAAGAGGAAAGCGGACUUGCAUGUCUCCAUACAAGACGAGGCCUGACUCCCCUGUGGAAACUCCAUAGGAAUCCUGAGAUCCAUGUCAGUACUGGAGAGAAAUCUUACGUUCUGACCUCAAAAGUAGCAGAGACCAUUGGCCCCUGCGUUGACUGGAGAGGAAUCCCGAGAGGCCCCUCACAACUCGCAUGGAGACUUGACUUUCCUGAGGAAACAUGAUCGGGUACCUGACAUCUCUGUCGUAACUCAAGAGGAACCCCAAGUUUCCUGCCGCAACUCGAGAAAAACCAGGAGAUUCUCCCAUCUAUGCGAGAUGAGGCCCUUUUCGGCUGCAGCAUCUUGAGAGAAAUCCCACAUUCUCUAUUGAGCCUUGAAAGUGUCUUUGACACCCUUGAUGCAACUCAAGCAGUUUUCCUACAUCCCCUUCUCCAAUCGUGAGUAACACCGAGAGUGCCCUGGCACAACUCAAGAAGAGCCCCGUUUUUCCCUCCUCAUCUCGACAUGAGGGUCUGCCUUGAGCCAGCAGAGGAGAUCCCAACCAUGACAAAGGUCAUGAGGACGAGUCCUUACAGGUAAAGACAACUCAGUACUUGAGGGAUCCUCUGGAUUUGCUCGAGCAUCUACCCCCAAACCAGAAUCUGCCUAUCUUGCUAUUUUUCACUAACUCCUCUGUUACCAACAGGGGACUCUCCCCGACCAUCUUUCUCUGAAGAAAAUUAACUUAUAGCUCUAGUUUAUAAGUCUCCUGGGCAUUUAAUUGGAGUGUUUCCAUUCAAACCCCUCUGAUAGAUUUCUAACUUGCCUGACAGGUUUAGCUGUACUUUUUCAACUAAGCAUGUUAUUGUUUACAGCCUCCAAACCACAAGAGGCACAGGAAGCUUAAAACAUUGUAGGAAUGCAGAACCUUUUGAGGAGUUAGAAAUCAUUAGAAUAGAACUGGUUAAGGGUUUCAUUGUUGAGCCAAUGAUUACUGCCAAGUUUUCAUAUCUUUUAUUUGUUGAUAUAGUUGGUAUACUGAAAACAAAAAAACAAAAAACACCAGUUAGUAACCCUGGCAUCAGCAACAUUAGAUCUGUGGGUUAACUACAUUGUUGUAACCAACUGCACCUUUGUUCUAUAGGAAUGUAACUUAACUUUAUUUAGUGCUUUGAGGGUGAAGCAGAUUAAAGAAAAAAAUAUUUCAAGGGAAAAUGAGUUUUUUGGCUGAUUAACAUUUAUCAAAGAAAAGAGCCAUAAAAUGUUAACAAGCCUCUUGGCCAGAAGAUAAUGUAAAUAACCUGAGACCUUUUGAAUAUGGAAAAGUAUACAGAAAGAAAGCCUAGUAUCGAUAAGGGUCAGGACUGCUGACCCUGCAUGACUCUGCAUCUUCCAUUAUGUAAAACUUAGGCUAUACAAGCUCCUUUUGCAAAUUAAACUACGGGUCUUGCACAAGCUUGGCCUCCCUGUGUCAUACAUUCUUUCUAUCUUAGCUUUCUUUUCAGGCUGAUCCCUUGGGGUGCAGGUUUCCUCCGUGUUCACUUCUCUGCCAGGGCUUCUAAGACCCAUGAGAGAUGGAGCACAAAGCGGGGCACCAUCCACUAUUCAAGCUCCGGCCGGUGGCCUACGUGAAUCGUGUAAGUCCCUUGUCUUGGGAAUUUAUUGACUUUCCGUGCAAACCAAGGAAUAUCAGCCUAUGUUCUCUCCUCUAUUCUCUAAACUGCAAAUUAUUUCCUUAACUCUCUUUAUAUCUAUACAUCUCUGUUUCCUCGCUGUCCACAUUUCGGAUACUCUGGAAUCAACUGGGGCUGGACCCCAAUAAGGGUCCAUUUCCUGCUUCAUCAGGAAAGGAAUCCCGGCAUUCCUGUCACAACUCAAGAGAAGGCAGUCUCAACAUGAAACACGAGAGGAACUCCAGGGCUUGUAUCACAAUUUAAAAAGACCCCGAAGUCCCAAUCCACUCCAGAAACACUUGAUUCCCGUUCACUGACUCGACUGUCACCCCAAGGAUUGAUUCACAACACGAGGGCUGGUGUGACAGCACUGUAGCACUCGAGAGAAGCCAUGGAUCCCUAUGUCAACAAGAUAAGAAGUCUGACACUGCUUUGAGAGCUUGAGAGGAAAGCGAACUUGCAUGACUCCUCACGAGAUAAGGCCUGCGUCCCCUGUAGAAACUCAAUAGGAACCUCAAGAUCCAUGUCAGCACUGGAGAGGCACCCUGAGGUUCCGGCCUCAACUCCAGGGAAAUUCCAGUCUCCAUGCAAGUUGUGAGGUGCUUCUCGGGACUCCUCUCCACUUGGUGCCGGGUCCUAGGUCCUCAUCUGGAGGUGCCACAGGGCUAUCACACCUGCCAUCGUGUUCUGAGUCAAUCCUCGGGAUGACCGUCGAGUCAGUGCAGGGGAGUCAGGUGUAUCUGGAGCAGAUUGAGACAUCGGGGUCUUUUGGAAUUGUGGCACGACCCCUGGAUGCCCCUCAAGGUUCAAGUUGAGACCGCCUCCUCUUGAGUUGCAACAGGAAUGCCGGGAUUCCUUUCCCGACGAAGCAGGGAAAUGGACCCACAUCUCAAGAUGAGGAGGAAAAACCGGGGCUCUUCUUGAGUUGUGGCAGGACCUUCGGUGUUCCUCUCGAGUGGAGACGGGUAUGUUGGGGAACUUCUUGUGUUGCCUCAAGGGUGUCAAGAACCCUUUAAAGGCUCAAGAGGGAAGGUGGAAUUUCUCUCGAGACACCGCAGGGGAAAGAGGCCUCAUCUCGCAUUGAGGGGAGAAUCUCCUGGUUUUACUCAAGUUGGAACAAGGAAAUAGGGGUCCCAUUCGAGUUACAACGGGGACCUCUUGGGACCCACUCGUGUUGCCUCAGAAAGGCCAGUCUCCAUGUAAACUGUGAGGGUCCUCAUACCACGCUCUCUGGAAUCAACGUACAGUUAAGGCACGGCCCCUCUGCAGAAGGCACUGCUCCAGCCCCACGCCAUCCAAGCUCGACGAGCCUCCUAGACGACCUCUUGGUGGCCACGGGUAUGCUGGCCUUACUGGGCCCUUCCCCGGGGGCCAAUGCCUUCCAAGGGGUGGACCCUGCCCUCCCAGGCGCACCCAGCCUCCUCGACGAGCUCUUGGCCGCUUCGGGCAUCCCGGACACGAAGGUGCCUUCCCCAGGAGCCGCUGCCGACCAAGGGGUGGACCCUCCCUUCCCAAGCGCACCCAGCCUCCCAGACGAGCUCUUGGCAGCCACGGGUGUCCCAGACACGAAGGCGCUUUCCCAGGAGCCGCUGCCGUCCACAGGUUGGACCCUGCCCUCCCAGGUGCACCCAGCUUCCUAGAUGAGCUCAUCGCCGACACGGGCAUCACGGACAUGAAGGUGCCUUCCCCGGGAGCCGCUGCUGACCAAGGGGUGGACCCUGCCCUCCCAAGCACAUCGAGCCUCCUACACGAGCUCUUGGCAGCCAGGGGUGUGCCAGCCUCGUCAGAGCUUUCCCUGGAGGCCUUGACAGUUGUAGCGCAACAACCAGCUCUCGCUGGCACACCCAGCCUCUUAGAGGAAAUCUUGGCUGCCACUGGCAUCCACGCCACCCCAGGGCCUUUCCUGGGGCCCUGUGCCGAUGAACAGGCACACCUCGCCCUCCCAGGCUCACCAAGACUCCAAGACGCGCUCCUGGCUGCCCCGGGCAUCCCAAGUUCACCGGGUCCUUUUCCGGGGUCCUCUCCUGUCGUCACAGGGGCCCACCCAGCCUUCCCCGGGUCACCCAGCCUCCUAGAGGAAAUCUUGGCUGCCAUGGCCACGCAGGACACGCCCUGGUCUCCUCUGGGGGCCCCUGUGGGGGACGAGGGAGUUGAGGCCAUCCUGGAAGCACCCCUCAGUCAGGAGGAUUACGAGGCCCUCCUCAACAUGCUGCCAGGCUCCCCAGGUCCUCGGGCUUAGAGGGAGAGGAAGGGAGGGGCACCUUCUCCCCCUGUCCACGUUCAGGUCUCCUUGCCUGGGAUGCUCGGGGAAGGGGGGGCGGUUUUGUGUGUGGGAAGAGGAGAGAAUACCGACAGGAUGUCUACCAACAACUCUGGGGACAAACCCGAGAGCUGGACCUUUGGGAAGCUGGGCCCCACCCCGAAACAGGGACACCCUACUUGAAGCCUCAAGUAAUUCCUGCAUGGCAAUGACCAAGAGGGUGCCAAAGAGGGAACAUUCCAUGGACACAAGACAGAAACCCCGUGCCCCACACAGGUGCUUUGGGUCUGGCUCUUCUGACUUCUGGUCCCAUCCUUCCAGCAGUCCACCCAGGAGAACUCCUUCCCUACACCAGGAGCAGCAGAGGGAGGGGGAGCAGGAGACAGUGGAGUGAAAAGGUGGAAAGGUUGGGAG
ensembl:lncRNA